AUGAUUCUCACAGCUGUGACUUCCAUUCACUUACAUUAUAGGACUGACAGACUGCAACAGUUUGAGUUAAAAUUCUCUGUUUGUGUUCUACUGAAGACACAAAGUCACCUACAUCUUGGAUGCCCUUGGGGAAUGCUGUUCCAAGACCAACAAGGAUGCAGAUCCAGCAAAAUGUCUUUCUUGACAGUAUCACAUCCACCCAAGUCACCCGAGUAGGAGUUCAUUCAUAAUUCCAGUCUGAGUCCAAAUACUGUACCCCCAACCCCAAUUAAAUGAAUUAACUAAAUAAUAGACUUACAGCUGGACUAACAGACCUAGAUAGUACCUUGGCUUCAUCCAAUAUUUAUACAUCUUAAUCAGGCUACAGUUGGCCUCGCUGUUCUGAAAGACAGAUAGGCUUGCAUAUCCUUCAGACAUUUGAUUACGCAUUGUGUCAUGUCUGUUUGGACAGACUCAAAGCCUCAAGUCUCAAGUCUCAAAGCCAAACACUAUCAUGACCAUUUGUAACCAUUCGCAAAAUGGUCACGCUUUCUCCUGAGAUUGGCUUGGUCAGAUUUUAUAUAUCCAUGUACUCUAAUCCAAAACUCCCUGGAUAAAAUGCUGUGUUGGUUCUAGAACAACCUUUAUGCCAAAACACCAGUCCCAACACUAUCCUUGAAAUCAGUGGGGAAUAGAUUGAUAAGAAUGUUAAGUCCCUAAUCCUUGAAAAAUCUGGUUUAUAGGAAUGCUGUUCCAAAACCAAUAAAGAUGCUGAUCCAGCAACAUGUCACACUUGGCAAAAUCACAAUAAGCCACCCAGAGCAAUAUACUUAGGUGACUAGGUCUAUGAUACAGUGAAUUAUAUCAUCCUUCAAAAAAAUUAAUAUAACCAAACACAUUCAUCACUUUUCUUAUUAAAUUAAUUCUGUGAUAGACAACACUCCUAGCCGAUACUAAGAUGCCAGAACACUCCUACACAAGAGUGAGAGCUUUACAUGACCUCAGCUCCAUAUACGCUGUGCACUUUAUCUUGAUUUAUAGGGUUCAGCUGAAACACAUUUCAGAAAUGACGGCAGUGUGAGUUUUUUUGCUUGAGUGUAAUUUGUUUUCAACCUCCAGGCAAACUGAUGGCUGGUAAGGAAUUAUUAGGGAUGUGCUGGCAUACUUUCAAACAAUUUAAUUAUGUCAUUGCUUACAUAUACAAACUUCAAGGAACCUUCAAAACAUCAUACUGUAUGGAAUUUUCUGUAUCAGUGUGUGAAGACCACACAGUCUUACAGAGGUCCUAAACACAUCUGUGCAAACAAAGCUUGAAGAUAGUGUCCAGUGGGAUGGGACAUUGAGAACUGGCUCAGGAUACAGUGCAGCUGAAUGAAACCAUGAAAACCAUGAUGUUCACUCAUCCACUCAAGCUGAGUUAUUGUUAACGAAUGACAUGGCGGAACUCUGUUUUUGGGUCUCGUCCACAUAUGAUGUGCUCCUCUGAGAUUUUCUCAGAUAUACGUGGAACUGACAAUACAAAUCCUGCUUAAAAUGCACAUUCCUCAAUAGGCUUGUCCUCUCUUUUUCCUCCUGGAAAUGGAGAUGGUCAGGGUGUAUAAAUAUAUCCAAGCAUUUUAUUUCAGGCUGGCCUCUCUAAUGAUCACUUUUGGUAUUACUCUAAUGAGAGACUGCUCAUGAAGCUCACCCUGUAUAAUUAAACUUAAAAUGAAGAAGUCUCCCAAGAGGACAACUGAAGUUGCCCAAUGGAGCCCCUACUUGGACCCACCUAAGUUUUUGUUCCUUUAUA
ensembl:lncRNA